rnacentral:rRNA from 1 species
GACGAACGCUGGCGGCGUGCUUAACACAUGCAAGUCGAGCGGAAAGGCCACUUCGGUGGUACUCGAGCGGCGAACGGGUGAGUAACACGUGAGUAAUCUGCCCCUGGCUUUGGGAUAGCCACCGGAAACGGUGAUUAAUACCGGAUACGACCACUUCUCGCAUGGGAUGGUGGUGGAAAGUUUUUUCGGCCAGGGAUGUGCUCGCGGCCUAUCAGCUUGAUGGUGAGGUAAUGGCUCACCAUGGCUUCGACGGGUAGCCGGCCUGAGAGGGUGACCGGUCACACUGGGACUGAGACACGGCCCAGACUCCUACGGGAGGCAGCAGUGGGGAAUAUUGGACAAUGGGCGGAAGCCUGAUCCAGCAACGCCGCGUGAGGGAUGACGGCCUUCGGGUUGUAAACCUCUUUCAGCAGGGACGAAGCGCAAGUGACGGUACCUGCAGAAGAAGCACCGGCCAACUACGUGCCAGCCGCCGCCGUAAAAC